rnacentral:rRNA from 1 species
GGCGGCGUGCCUAAUACAUGCAAGUAGAACGCUGAAGAGAGGAGCUUGCUCUUCUUGGAUGAGUUGCGAACGGGUGAGUAACGCGUAGGUAACCUGCCUUGUAGCGGGGGAUAACUAUUGGAAACGAUAGCUAAUACCGCAUAACAAUGGAUGACACAUGUCAUUUAUUUGAAAGGGGCAAUUGCUCCACUACAAGAUGGACCUGCGUUGUAUUAGCUAGUAGGUGAGGUAACGGCUCACCUAGGCGACGAUACAUAGCCGACCUGAGAGGGUGAUCGGCCACACUGGGACUGAGACACGGCCCAGACUCCUACGGGAGGCAGCAGUAGGGAAUCUUCGGCAAUGGGGGCAACCCUGACCGAGCAACGCCGCGUGAGUGAAGAAGGUUUUCGGAUCGUAAAGCUCUGUUGUAAGUCAAGAACGAGUGUGAGAGUGGAAAGUUCACACUGUGACGGUAGCUUACCAGAAAGGGACGGCUAACUACGUGCCAGCAGCCGCGGUAAUACGUAGGUCCCGAGCGUUGUCCGGAUUUAUUGGGCGUAAAGCGAGCGCAGGCGGUUUGAUAAGUCUGAAGUUAAAGGCUGUGGCUCAACCAUAGUUCGCUUUGGAAACUGUCAAACUUGAGUGCAGAAGGGGAGAGUGGAAUUCCAUGUGUAGCGGUGAAAUGCGUAGAUAUAUGGAGGAACACCGGUGGCGAAAGCGGCUCUCUGGUCUGUAACUGACGCUGAGGCUCGAAAGCGUGGGGAGCGAACAGGAUUAGGUACCCUGGUAGUCCACGCCGUAAACGAUGAGUGCUAGGUGUUGGAUCCUUUCCGGGAUUCAGUGCCGCAGCUAACGCAUUAAGCACUCCGCCUGGGGAGUACGACCGCAAGGUUGAAACUCAAAGGAAUUGACGGGGGCCCGCACAAGCGGUGGAGCAUGUGGUUUAAUUCGAAGCAACGCGAAGAACCUUACCAGGUCUUGACAUCCCGAUGCUAUUUCUAGAGAUAGAAAGUUACUUCGGUACAUCGGUGACAGGUGGUGCAUGGUUGUCGUCAGCUCGUGUCGUGAGAUGUUGGGUUAAGUCCCGCAACGAGCGCAACCCCUAUUGUUAGUUGCCAUCAUUCAGUUGGGCACUCUAGCGAGACUGCCGGUAAUAAACCGGAGGAAGGUGGGGAUGACGUCAAAUCAUCAUGCCCCUUAUGACCUGGGCUACACACGUGCUACAAUGGUUGGUACAACGAGUUGCGAGUCGGUGACGGCAAGCUAAUCUCUUAAAGCCAAUCUCAGUUCGGAUUGUAGGCUGCAACUCGCCUACAUGAAGUCGGAAUCGCUAGUAAUCGCGGAUCAGCACGCCGCGGUGAAUACGUUCCCGGGCCUUGUACACACCGCCCGUCACACCACGAGAGUUUGUAACACCCGAAGUCGGUGAGGUAACCUUUUGGAGCCAGCCGCCUAAGGUGGGAUAGAUGAUUGGGGUGA